UACGAAGGGGGGCUAGCGUUGCUCGGAAUCACUGGGCGUAAAGCGCACGUAGGCGGCUUUCUAAGUCAGGGGUGAAAUCCUGGAGCUCAACUCCAGAACUGCCUUUGAUACUGGAGAGCUUGAGUCCGGGAGAGGUGAGUGGAACUCCGAGUGUAGAGGUGAAAUUCGUAGAUAUUCGGAAGAACACCGGUGGCGAAGGCGACAUCCUGGACCGGCAUUGACGCUGAGGCGCGAAAGCCAGGGGAGCAAACGGG
rnacentral:rRNA from 1 species